GAGAGAAGGACAUGUUCUAAAGAGGGAAGAAGAGAGAGAGAGAAGGACAUGUUCUAAAGAGGGAAGAAGAGAACAGACCGACAGGACGAGUUUGACUGAGACGAGGACGAGGAAGCAGCUCAAACCGGUUUAUUCUCAGAAAGGACAUUUGAACAGGCAGCACCAGGUUCUAAUAUCAACUCCAACAGUUCAUAGAAUGAACUGAAUUAGAACAGAAGGGAGUUGAGGACUAGUCUGAUCAGCCUGACAUCAACCUGCUGGGUUCUCUCAGUCUUCACACACGUCCUGUAGCAGCGGCUCACACCAGUGAGGGAGGUUCAGUCUCUUGCUCAGGGGCACUCCGGCAGGCAGAUGGAGGUUCGUCCAGUUGUGUUGGGACAUGGGAGCGGGUCAGCUUCUACAUUUCAAGCUCUGUACAAAUCUCCAUCUGGCUACAGAGUCAAUGAGUCGCUCACUCACAUAUUUGUAGUAUUGUUUCAAUCUCUUUCUCAAGCUGUGUUAUCUAAGUCCAGCUUAGCACGCACUAGUUAACUUAGCAGAACUUUUAAAUUCAUGAAAAAUAUGUGUAUCUGUAUGUGAUCAGUUCAUUCAUAAACAUAUGAUAAUAUGUGUUUCACUGCCAAUACAAACUUAGCAGUUAUAUCAACUACACACACACACACAUAGACAGACACAGACACACACAGACACACACACAGACACACACACACAGACACAAUGUUAGUCAAUGUUAAAUGAAUAAAGUGAUGAAGAGCUUGUUUGAAAUGA